rnacentral:ncRNA from 1 species
AAUUAGACAUCGAAAAGAACAGUAACUCAUUUUUUUACGUUUAGAGAAUCUCUGGUUGGUGAAAAGAGAUCGUGGGAAUGUAGUGAAACACAUCUUGGAGUCGGUUUUUUGAAUCAAGUAGGAAAAUCCGGGAGGCCCGUUAUAGCCCCAGUCAUUUAUUGAUGACUUACGAAGAUUUACUUCUGUGAAGAGUAAAUGAAAAAAGGUGGAACCGCGUCAUAUACGUCCUUUAG